rnacentral:rRNA from 1 species
GUCCUAGCCGUAAACGCUGCAUGCCAGAUGUUACACAAUCUUCGAGAUUGUGUAGUGUCGUAACGAAGGUGUUAAGCAUGCCACCUGGGAAGUACGGUCGCAAGGCUGAAAACUUAAAGGAAUUGGCGGGGGAGCACUACAAGGGGUGCGGCGUGCGGUUUAAUUGAAUUCAACGCCGGGAAUCUCACCAGCGGCGACGGCAGGAUGAAGCUCAGUCUUAAGGGCUUAGCUGACGAGCCGAGAGGUGUUGCAUGGCCGCCGU